AUGGAGAGUUUGAUCCUGGCUCAGGGCGAACGCUGGCGGCGCGCCUAAAGCAUGCAAGUCGAACGGGGCACCCUUCGGGGUGUCUAGUGGCGGACGGCUGAGUAACGCGUGGGUAACCUGCCCCGAAGUGGGGAAUAACUCCUGGAAACAGGGGCUAAUACCGCAUGAGGUCUGUUGCCGCUGGGCAGCAGAUCAAAGGCACCUUCGGGUGUCGCUUCGGGAGGGGCCCGCGUCCCAUCAGCUUGUUGGUGGGGUAAUGGCUCACCAAGGCGAUGACGGGUAGCUGGCCUGAGAGGGUGGUCAGCCAGACUGGGACUGAGACACGGCCCAGACUCCUACGGGAGGCAGCAGCUAGGAAUCUUGCGCA
rnacentral:rRNA from 1 species